rnacentral:lncRNA from 1 species
AUUUUUAAAGACUUAACUUUUUUUUUUCCUUAGGAUACUGAAUUAGAGCAUAAGAAAGAAAUACAAAACCAAAUCUGUUCUCAGUUUGUAGUUGUCAUGAAGAGAUUUGUAUUUUGGGGAGCCAUGCAAACAAAGAGCAGUUUCCAACCUUGAGUUGUACCCAGUUGAAUGUCUGAAUAUUUGAUGUAGACAUGACGGCCACGACUGGUUAGAAGAAGGAGAGGUUUUGAAAGAUUGCUUGCUUCAAGAGACAUGAUGAAGUUCAAACAACCAUCACCAAACUGAUUGUGGAAAUAAUAAUAUCAUCACCAUCAUCUGCUCAUGAAACACAAAUGGCUCUGUCAUUCUGUCUGACGAGUACUUACUAACCAGAAUUAGACAUAAAUCCCUAGAGGUAAAAUGACGGGGCCUUACAAGGCUCAGAGAUCAGAGUGUAGUUGUAAAUCUG